UCUAUCAAACAUGGCCAGGAUUCCCUCAGAUGCCAAACCUGUUGAUUACACAGGUCAAGUGCAAAAAUCAUAUACCUGUUUUUGAUAGAAGAAUAUACAACAGUGUACUUUAUAUUGACAGCAACACAAUCUGGUGAUAAAUAACAAAGAGCAGACUUGGCAGCAUGAUAAGCAGGGAAGCUUUCCCGUUGGUAUUGUUCAUCGCUGAUCCACGAAAGCGAUGCCUUAUUGUAAUGGUGUCUGUCCAUAGCUACAAACAUGAUGGCUAGACGCUUCAUAGAGGAAGCAAGCUGUGGAAAUUGCCCACUUCUCACAAUUACAGGAUAAUGCAGAAAACACAGAGGGUUGAGCUCUUAAAAAAGAUGUAAGAGACAACUGUAAUCAGUGUCCUUGCAUUGUCCAAAUGCUUGAAUUACUUGUGUGCGGAUUCUCAGCCAACCACAAAAUGCUAGCACAAUGCACAGUGCCACUUUGUCUGGCUUGGGCUUUUCAGCUCUGGUGGAUAUCCCUCCUCUGCACAGCUGGGGUGGACUUCCAGGAGAUGAAACCAUUACGCAUCUGUGAAUGCUGGCUGUGUCAACUGGUGGAGGGACUGCAUCCACAGAUGACUGUAUGUCCAUGAGAAGAGUUGUCAUAUGGACAGCAUUAUGUCCAGGGGAUUGUCUGUCAGGUCUGCUCUUUCUUCCCCAUGACGUUCAGAGAGAAUACUGUCAAGGUGGAUCUUAUACAGUUUUGGGGAAUUUGAUACUAUGAAUUCUUUAAAAACUGGCUGGCUUACAAGUCUGCCGAUCUGAGCAUUUUUCCAUUUUUUUUCUUAGAGUUUGUAGGAGGUCUUUGAAUGUUGGUUCUGUUAGAGAUAAAUAUAAUUUAGUUUCAAUCAAAAUUGUAGUAUUAUUGCUAUUACAGUGUAUCUUCUACGUAAAAAAGAGCUUCAUAAAGGAUGAGAUUGUUAGUUUACCAUUUAACUUCUCCUGAAUGCGUUUCCGAGUUGAUGCCUCAAGCAUAAUGUCCCCAUCCUGGCCAACUAACAUGUCACCAAACUGUCCUAAUCAACAAUCUUCCAGUAAUCAGGAUUUUGCAGCUGUGACACAGAAAGGAGGGAGCUGUUUGUGGCUUUUUUAUCCUAGUAAACAUUCUUUAUUUCAAAACCACAUGUAGUAUUUUCAUUAUGGUGUAACAUGCUGUAAUUCUAAGAUCUACAUAGUACCAUUGAUUAUUAUACCAAACAAUGUUUACAGUUAAGACUGUACCUCAGAGGUAAAUUGUUGACCAGCUUCAUCUCUUCUGUUUCUUGACAUACCUGUUUCAAUGGUGUUAUAAUGAAGGUGAGAAUAGAGGUACAUGCAAAGAAAAUGGCCCAUUGAAACAGAUAAAUUGUGCCUGUGUAACUGUGGCAGUUCACAUAACACAUUGAGUACAAUCAUACCUCUUGUUUAACAGUGUCUAUCUGACUCUCAGUUACUUUGACAUCACACAUCCGCAACGGUAGUUAUUUUUAGAAACCAGUCAACUGUUGAAAUAGUCUUGUUUAUCAGAAGUUAACGAAAUACAGUUGAUAAUUGUUG